CUUCAUCUUUCUUAGUCAUGAUGUUAGAGUUUACAGUUUACACUUCUGAAACAUAAUUUUCACGAGUCCAAAUUCAGGAUUACGUAUAUCUUCAUCCUUCCCCAUUUGGAAGGGUACGUAAUCUCUCCUUACUAAUUUCCCUACCAAACACGUUCCAUCAACAGUUACUCAUUUCUCUGUUUUGCAAAUUGCAAUCUUUGGGACUCAUUUUCUCUGUAUUGAAGUUGUGGACUUUCCUGUGAGUCUGUGACCAAGAUUCUGUCUUUAUUAAGUAGUUGGUAGUUCUCUGAUCAAGCAACAGAGUAGUCAGCCACCCUUUCAUUUUCUAUUCAUUGUUGAACUUGAUCCUCAGUCCUCUCCUCUAGUAUGCCUCUUCUUUGAAAAUUACCUGGGUAUCAGUAAAUAUGUACUGCUGACCCGGUUUAAUUGUCAAGUCUUUUAAGUCUAUGAAACCUUAGCUCAGGGAACAAUUUUCUGUUGCUGGGUUGGGUUGAUAUUGUUCAAAAAUGAAAUAUUUGGCGGUUUUACCACAGUUUGUAUUUGUAUGGAUAGUUCUUUGUGGUUCUGUGUAUUGCCAGAGGCCUGCUGUUGUGAAAGUUGGUGCAAUUUUUACCUUUGAUUCGGUUAUAGGUAGAGCUGCAAAGCUAGCAAUGGAAGUUGCAGUUUCCGAUAUUAAUGCUGAUCCAGUAAUUCUCAAUGGGACUGAGUUGAGGUUGAUUGAGCAAGACGCAAGUUGUAGUGUCUUCUUGGGUUCCAUUGAAGCUUUUGAACUGAUCGAGCAAGAGGUAGUGACCAUAAUUGGCCCCCAGUCUUCCUCAAUAGCUCAUAUGAUAUCUGAAAUUGCCAAUGGCCUCAAAGUACCUCUAAUUUCAUAUGCUGCUACUGAUCCAACUUUAUCUUCCCAGCAAUUCCCUUACUUUAUCCGAAGUACCCAAAGUGACUACGUCCAAAUGGCUGCAAUAGCAGAUCUUGUUGAUUUUUAUGGGUGGAAAGAAGUUAUUUCCAUCUAUGUAGAUGAUGAUUAUGGGAGGAAUGGCGUAUCUGCUUUAGAUGAUGCAUUGGAGAAGAAGAUGGCAAAAAUUUCAUAUAAAUUGCCUUUAAAUAUUCAGUUUGAUCAGAAUGACAUCAUAGAUGCACUCAAUAAAUCCAAGUUGUUUGGUCCUCGAGUUUAUGUUGUCCAUGUUAAUCCUGACCCCAGAUUGAGAAUCUUUGCUAUGGCCCAAAAACUUAAAAUGAUGACCAGCAACUAUGUUUGGCUUGCAACAGAUUGGUUUUCUGCUACCUUAGAUUCAUUCUCUCCUCUGAAUGGAACUUCACUUAGUAAUCUCCAAGGAAUAGUAGCGCUUCGUCAACAUACUCCAGAGUCCGCCCGUAAGAAGGCCUUUCUUUCUCAGUGGAGCAAUAUGGAGCAGAAAGGAUUAGCAAGUUCUGGGUUGAAUACGUAUGGGAUGUAUGCUUAUGAUACAGUUUGGGCAGUUGCGCGUUCCAUCGAUGAGUUCAUAGAUGAAAAUAACAUCACCUUUUCUGUCAAUAAGGACUCACUUGAUAUCAAAGUAACUGGAGUAAAGCUGGGGGAGCUCAGAGUAUUUGAUGGUGGGGAGCUUCUACGCAGGAAAUUAUUGCAGACAAACUUUACUGGUUUAACAGGUCAAUUUAAGUUUAAUCAAGAUCGGAACAUUGUUAGUUAUGGUUAUGAGGUCAUAAAUAUUGACAAGAUGGAAAUUCAAAGAGUUGGAUUCUGGUAUAGUGAUUUUGGUUUCUCAGUUUUACCCCCUGAAACUCUCAUUGCACAAAAGAAAAACCAGUCCCAAUUGGAUCAACAGCUUCAAAAUAUUACUUGGCCUGGUGGAAAGACGGAAAGACCGCGAGGUUGGGUGAUCGCAAAUGAGGAUAGACCUUUGAGAAUUGGAGUGCCAAAAAGAGCUAGUUUUGCUGGUUUUGUUACAGAAGAGCACAGUAGCCAUCAAAUCCGAGGAUACUGUAUCGAUAUAUUCCUCGAAGCAAGGAAAUUAGUCCCAUAUGACGUGCCUUACAGAUUUGUGCCUUAUGGGGAUGGCCUAUCCAAUCCUAGUUAUGAUAAGCUCGUGGAAAUGAUUGCAAACAAUGUGUUUGAUGCAGCUGUUGGGGACAUUGCAAUUGUGACAAAUCGAACAAGAAUUGUUGAUUUUUCUCAGCCUUAUGUUGCUACUGGUCUUGUCAUUGUGGCUCCAAUUAACAAUAGGAAGUCUAGUGCUUGGGUAUUUCUAAAACCAUUUACAGUUGAGAUGUGGUGUGUCACUGCAGCUGCUUUUGUGAUGAUUGCAGUGGUUAUUUGGAUUCUUGAGCAUCGAGUCAAUGAUGAUUUUCGGGGUCCUCCUAGAAGGCAAAUUGUCACAAUGUUUUUGUUCAGUUUCUCAACACUAUUUAAAACGAACCAAGAAGCUACUAUAAGCCCACUGGGACGGCUGGUGAUGGUGGUCUGGCUUUUCUUAUUGAUGGUGAUAACUUCAAGCUAUACAGCAAGCUUGAGUUCGAUCCUCACUGUUCAGCAACUUUCAACUCCCAUCCAGGGAAUUGACAGCUUGAUUGCCAAUGAUUGGCCCAUUGGGUACCAAGUGGGGUCAUUCAGUUAUAACUAUCUAUCGGAAAGUCUUCACAUACCACGCUCAAGACUCAUUUCUCUGAGCUCUCCAGAAGCUUACGAAAGAGCUCUGAGGCAAGGUCCAAUUAAUGGUGGGGUAGCAGCUAUAGUGGAUGAGCUUCCAUAUGUGGAGUUGUUUCUAAAACAGCGAACCGAUUUUGGGAUUAUUGGGCAACCAUUUACCAAAAGUGGAUGGGGAUUUGCCUUUCAAAGAGGUUCUCCUCUUGCUGUCGACAUGUCUACUGCAAUCUUAAAACUUUCUGAGAAUGGACAGCUUCAGAAGCUUCGUGAGAGAUGGUUUUGUAAAAAGGGUUGCCCAGAAGAGAGGAACCAAAACUCGGAGCCUCACCAACUCCAGUUGGUCAGCUUCUGGGGUCUUUACAUUUUAUGUGUUAUCAUCACCCUCAGUGCUCUUUUUGUGUUUCUGCUAAGAGUGGUUCGCCAGUUUGUGCGUUACAAAAAAAGGGAGAUGCUCUCUUCUUCUUCAUCAUCUUCAACCCCAACUUCAUCAAGUAGCAGCUGUUCUCAGCUCAUUUAUAACUUUUUUGACUUCAUUGAUGAGAAGGAAGAAGCUAUCAAAAAGAUGUUCAGUCAUUGCGAGAAUCCUCAAAUCCAUGUGAACUCAGCAACCCAACAACAUGGUACAUCCGUUUGAAGUGAAUUGGUGUCUAAACCAAUCAUUUAGUGCAACUUAAUUAAGACUCAUGAUACUUGUGGGGAGUGCGUUUGUUGUAGGACCAAAACACAAGGUACGUAAAAUAAUGGAACUGGAAAUGUGGAGUGGACACCUCUAAAUAAAUACUCAGGUGUGGUUAAGAAUGCCUUAACCAAAGACGUACGAGAUGGUUCACAUUAAGAGAACCCACCGGGACCUGCUUUCUCUUAUUUUAUUGGAUACGCUUACCAAUCUAAGUUGACUUUUGUAUAACAUGAUU